UACGUAGGGUGCGAGCGUUUGUCCGGAAUUACUGGGCGUAAAGAGCUCGUAGGCGGUCUGUCGCGUCUGCUGUGAAAAUCCAGGGCUCAACCCUGGACCUGCAGUGGGUACGGGCAGACUAGAGUGCGGUAGGGGAGAUCGGAAUUCCUGGUGUAGCGGUGAAAUGCGCAGAUAUCAGGAGGAACACCGGUGGCGAAGGCGGAUCUCUGGGCCGUAACUGACGCUGAGGAGCGAAAGCAUGGGGAGCGAACAGG
rnacentral:rRNA from 1 species